UACGAGGGGAGCAAGCGUUGUUCGGAUUUACUGGGCGUAAAGGGCGCGUAGGCGGCGUGACAAGUCACUUGUGAAAUCUCCGGGCUUAACCCGGAACGGUCAAGUGAAACUGUCGUGCUAGAGUACAGAAGGGGCAACUGGAAUUCUCGGUGUAGCGGUGAAAUGCGUAGAUAUCGGAAGGAACGCCGGUGGCGAAAGCGCGCUGCUGGACCUCUGCUGACGCUGAGGCGCGAAAGCCAGGGGAGCAAACGGG
rnacentral:rRNA from 1 species